GCCGGGAUGGUGGAACUGGUAGACACACUAUCUUGAGGGGGUAGCGGGCGCAAGCCUGUGCGGGUUCAAGUCCCGCUCCCGGCACCA
rnacentral:tRNA from 4 species